rnacentral:rRNA from 1 species
GAUGAACGCUGGCGGCGUGCCUAAUACAUGCAAGUCGAGCGAACGGACGAGAAGCUUGCUUUUCUGAUGUUAGCGGCGGACGGGUGAGUAACACGUGGAUAACCUACCUAUAAUACUGGGAUAACUUCGGGAAACCGGAGCUAAUACCGUAUAAUAUUUUGAUGCGCAUUGUUCAAAAGUGAAAUACGGUCUUGCUGUCACUUCUAGAUGGAUACACGCUGCAUUGGCGAGUUGGUAAGGUAACGGCUUACCACGGCAACGAUGCAUAGCCGACCUGAGAGGGGGAUCGGCCACACUGGAACGGAAACGCGGACACGACUCCUACGGGAGGGCGCAGUAGGCAACCGUACGCAAUGGGGGGAAACCUGGCGGAGCAACGCCGCGUGAGUGGUGAAGGCCUUCCGAUCGGAAAACUCUGUUAUUAGGGAAGAACAUAUGUGUACGUAACUGUGCACAUCUUGACGGUACCUAAUCAGAAAGCAACGGCUAACUACGUG